UGGGGAAUUUUGGACAAUGGGCGAAAGCCUGAUCCAGCAAUACCGCGUGCAGGAAGAAGGCCUUCGGGUUGUAAACUGCUUUUGUACGGAACGAAACGGUCUGGAUUAAUACUCUGGGCUAAUGACGGUACCGUAAGAAUAAGCACCGGCUAACUAC
rnacentral:rRNA from 1 species